GUGGCUUCUGCCUCCAUUCUGACUUCCAAAUCUCUUGCAAAUGCAUAUAAUUGGUUGAACCUAAUUCACAGUUAGAACCCCAGCUGCAAGUGAGACUGGAAAAAUGGCUCUCAGAGUUCCCGCCUCUGCAGUAGAGGAAGACACUCCAGAAGGAGUUGAGAAUGGGUGCUGAGUGCCUCUUCAGGAUGUCUGUCACACCUCAGGAAACCUGCCAGGAAUACCAAAGGGAGUGAAAAAUCCAAGGUUGGGAAGCCCUGGGACAUUGAAGUUACAACUGGACGAUAAAAACAGAGUUUUUUCCUUGUGACGUGACCACUGUGAUGUAAAGCUGUAUCUCCUUCAUUUCAUCAAGAAAUUCUUAAAAUUCUCCCCCAACGUGCUUUCAUCUUUCCCUUCAUUGCCAACUCUGUAAGAAGUACCACGCCUUUUCUUUGAAUCUGAUUCUCCUCCAAGAAGCAAUGCUUCUCUGAGGCUUUCACCUUUGCUCACAUCAAAGCCCCCACACUGAAUAAAUACCAUCCUUACAUGCCCUUCCAGAGACUCCACUAAUGGACGAGCUUCAUCCAGCAAAAGAUAACUGGGGAAACUUCAGCAAAAGGACUGUUGAUGAAAAUUUGCUGUAUUUGAUUAUAUAGCUAAG
rnacentral:lncRNA from 1 species